rnacentral:rRNA from 1 species
UACGUAGGGUGCGAGCGUUGUCCGGAAUUACUGGGCGUAAAGAGCUCGUAGGUGGUUUGUCGCGUUGUUCGUGAAAACUCACAACUCAAUUGUGGGCGUGCGGGCGAUACGGGGCAGACUGGAGUACUGCAGGGGAGACUGGAAUUCCUGGUGUAGCGGUGGAAUGCGCAGAUAUCAGGAGGAACACCGGUGGCGAAGGCGGGUCUCUGGGCAGUGAACUGACGCUGAGGAGCGAAAGCGUGGGGAGCGAACAGGA